rnacentral:snoRNA from 11 species
GUGGGCUGGGAAAUGGUUACUGUGUAGCUGGACUUCCUGAGACCCAGCCUUAUACCUGCUAACCUGAACCUUGCCCUAGAUAAAAAAGAAAACUGGCACACUCCUUCCUGGGGUCUGCCCUAUGCAGUAGCAGGUGUGAACAUUCUACCAGUAUUUUGAUGAUCAUGUAUGAUACUGCAUACACGU